rnacentral:rRNA from 1 species
UACGUAGGGUGCAAGCGUUAAUCGGAAUACUGGGCGUAAAGCGUGCGCAGGCGGUUGUGCAAGACAGAUGUGAAAUCCCCGGGCUUAACCUGGGAAUUGCAUUUGUGACUGCACGGCUAGAGUGUGUCAGAGGGGGGUAGAAUUCCACGUGUAGCAGUGAAAUGCGUAGAUAUGUGGAGGAAUACCGAUGGCGAAGGCAGCCCCCUGGGAUAACACUGACGCUCAUGCACGGAAAGCGUAGGG